rnacentral:tRNA from 1 species
GGGCUCGUGGUCUAGCGGUUAGGACACUUCGUUUACACCGAAGAUAUCACAGGUUCGAAUCCUGUCGGGCCCA